rnacentral:rRNA from 1 species
CGCAUAUGUUCGCUCAUUCGGUUGGGCGAGUAAAGCAGCGAUGCGCUUAGGGAUGGGCCUGCGGCGGAUUAGGUAGUUGGUGGGGUAACGGCCUACCAAGCCGAUGAUCCGUAGGGGGCGUGAGAGCGUGGCCCCCCACACUGGCACUGAGACACGGGCCAGACUCCUACGGGAGGCAGCAGUGAGGAAUAUUGCACAAUGGGCGCAAGCCUGAUGCAGCAACGCCGCGUGAGGGACGAAGGCCUUCGGGUUGUAAACCUCUUUUCUGAGGGACGAGGAAGGACGGUACCUCAGGAAUAAGUCUCGGCUAACUACGUGCCAGCAGCCGCGGUAAAACGUAGGAGGCGAGCGUUAUCCGGAUUUACUGGGCGUAAAGCGCGCGCAGGUGGCUUCGUGAGUCGGACAUGAAAGCUCCUGGCUUAACUGGGAGAGGCUGUUCGAUACUGCGGGGCUUGAGGUUGGGAGAGGGACGCGGAAUUCCCGGUGUAGUGGUGGAAUGCGUAGAUAUCGGGAGGAACACCAGUGGCGCAAGCGGCGUCCUGGCCCACACCUGACGCUGAGGUGCGAAAGCGUGGGUAGCAAACAGGAUUAGAUACCCUGGUAGUCCACGCUGUAAACGAUGUCAACUGGGUGUCGGUAGUUUUACACUAUCGGUGCCGAAGCUAACGCG